rnacentral:rRNA from 1 species
GAUGAACGCUGGCGGCGUGCCUAAUACAUGCAAGUCGAGCGAACAGACGAGGAGCUUGCUCCUCUGACGUUAGCGGCGGACUGGUGAGUAACACGUGGAUAACCUACCUAUAAGACUGGGAUAACUUCGGGAAACCGGAGCUAAUACCGGAUAAUAUAUUGAACCGCAUGGUUCAAUAGUGAAAGACGGUUUUGCUGUCACUUAUAGAUGGAUCCGCGCCGCAUUAGCUAGUUGGUAAGGUAACGGCUUACCAAGGCAACGAUGCGUAGCCGACCUGAGAGGGUGAUCGGCCACACUGGAACUGAGACACGGUCCAGACUCCUACGGGAGGCAGCAGUAGGGAAUCUUCCGCAAUGGGCGAAAGCCUGACGGAGCAACGCCGCGUGAGUGAUGAAGGUCUUCGGAUCGUAAAACUCUGUUAUUAGGGAAGAACAAAUGUGUAAGUAACUAUGCACGUCUUGACGGUACCUAAUCAGAAAGCCACGGCUAACUACGUG